UACGUAGGGAGCAAGCGUUGUUCGGAUUUACUGGGCGUAAAGGGCGCGUAGGCGGCCGAUCAAGUCAGCUGUGAAAUCUCCGAGCUUAACUCGGAACUGUCAGCUGAUACUGUUUUGCUAGAGUGCGGAAGGGGCAAUCGGAAUUCUUGGUGUAGCGGUGAAAUGCGUAGAUAUCAAGUGGAACACCAGUGGCGAAGGCGAGUCCCUGGAAAACUCCUGACACUGAGGCACGAAAGCUAGGGGAGCAAACGGG
rnacentral:rRNA from 1 species